AGUGGGGAAUAUUGGACAAUGGGCGAAAGCCUGAUCCAGCCAUGCCGCGUGAGUGAUGACGGCCCUAGGGUUGUAAAGCUCUUUCGCAGGUGAAGAUAAUGACGGUAACCUGAGAAGAAGCCCCGGCUAACUUCGUGCCAGCAGCCGCGGUAAUACGAAGGGGGCUAGCGUUGUUCGGAAUUACUGGGCGUAAAGCGCACGUAGGCGGACUAUUAAGUCAGGGGUGAAAUCCCGGGGCUCAACCCCGGAACUGCCUUUGAUACUGGUAGUCUCGAGUCCGAGAGAGGUGAGUGGAAUUCCGAGUGUAGAGGUGAAAUUCGUAGAUAUUCGGAGGAACACCAGUGGCGAAGGCGGCUCACUGGCUCGGUACUGACGCUGAGGUGCGAAAGCGUGGGGAGCAAA
rnacentral:rRNA from 1 species